rnacentral:rRNA from 1 species
AUGGAGAACCAGCGGAGCGCUGUCGGCUGGCGAAUCCACCCUCCUCCGCCUCCCCAUCUCCCCCCUCCACCCCCUCCAUCCACGCAAGGGCAUGACGACCAGAAAUUUGGGGAAAGCCAAGAAAUCUCCAUAGAAGGUACCGCUAAGAAUUCUGGUAGAGCCAAGUGGAAUCAUCAGAUGAAGGCAUAUCUCAUUGAACUCUUAAGAGAUCAUGAUGUUCCCAAAUACCGGACACAAAAUGCAUGGAGUAAAGAGGCCUGGACAAGUAUUGUUGGUAAAUUCAAUCAAAGAUUUGAUUUAUCCUUCACGAUAGUUCAAGUGAAGCAAAAGGAGCAGGAUCUAAAGAGAGAUUUCAAAGCUGUAAAAGACUUAAUAUCUGAAAGUGGUUUUGGCUGGGAUCGUGACAGAAAGAUGGUGGUGGCUCCAGAUAAUGUUUGGGCUGCACUAGAGGCACGUAAAAACAAGGACGCCCUCACGUGGCGAGGAAGGUCAUUUCCAUACUAUGAAGAUCUUUUUGCUCUAUAUGAUGGACGCUAUGCUCAGGGAAGGAGUUGUCGUGGCAUGGAUUAUUAUGCGAACAGAGCAACACAACUCUCACAGUUUCCAACAUCACAUUCACCACAAUUGCAAGGGCUGGAGGCGCAUUUGCACACACCGACUCCAACCAUACAUGCUCCUGGUGAUUCAUCCAUGCAAUUUGACAUUGAAGAGGAUAGUGAAAACACAAAUUGGUUUUCUAGCAAUAAUACAUUCAAUCAAGUGGAGGCAAACUCGGCUCAAGGAAAUGACUUGACAGUACAUGCUCCACAAGUUGAAGCAAUAUCAAUUUCCUCACAACAUGUUGGACAAACCUUGCAUGAAAUUCCACAAGUUGUACAUCGCAAUCGUCGACCAUCUAGCUCAGCUCAUGAGGUUACUAGCAGGAAGAGAGCGAAAAAGCAAAAGACGACCAGUAUUGAUGAUUUUCAUGAGAGAUACCUGAAACUCAGAAGGGAAGAAAUAGAUAGGUAUGCAGCCAGGAGAGUAAAUUAA